GCGUGAGCGAUGACGGCCUUAGGGUUGUAAAGCUCUUUCACCGGUGACGAUAAUGACGGUAGCCGGAGAAGAAGCCCCGGCUAACUCCGUGCCAGCAGCCGCGGUAAUACGGAGGGGGCUAGCGUUGUUCGGAAUUACUGGGCGUAAAGCGCGCGUAGGCGGACUGUUUAGUCGGGGGUGAAAUCCCGGGGCUCAACCCCGGAAUGGCCUUCGAUACUGGCAGUCUGGAGGUCGAGAGAGGCGAGUGGAAUUCCGAGUGUAGAGGUGAAAUUCGU
rnacentral:rRNA from 1 species